AGCGAACGCUGGCGGCAUGCCUAACACAUGCAAGUCGCACGGGUCGGCUUCGGCCGUUCAGUGGCGGACGGGUGAGGAACGCGUAGGGAUCUGUCCUCUGGUGGGGGAUAACCGCGGGAAACUGCGGCUAAGACCGCAUGGAGCGCCGGUGUGAGAUCCGGUUUCAAAGGCGCGCAUCGCGAGGUGUGUGUCGCCGGGGAGUGAGCCUGCGUCCGAUUAGCGGGUUGGCGGGGUAGUGGCACACCAAGGCGUCGAGCGGUAGCUGGUCUGAGAGGGUGAUCAGUCACAAUGGGACUGAGACACGGACCAGACUGGUACGGGAGGGAGCAGUGGGGAAUAUUGGAGAAUGGGCGCAAGCCUGAUCCAGCAAUGCCGCGUGGGUGAAGAAGGUCUUCGGAUUGUAAAGCCCUUUCGGCGGAGACGAUGGUGACGGUACCCGCAGAAGAAGCCCCGGCUAACUUCGUG
rnacentral:rRNA from 1 species